CCCUUAGAUGUUCUGGGCCGCACGCGUGCUACACUGAUGCAUUCAACGAGUCUAAAACCUGGUCUGAUAGGGCUGGGUAAUCUUUUGAAAGUGCAUCGUGAUUGGGAUAGAUGAUUGCAAUUCUUCAUCUUCAACGAGGAAUGCCUAGUAAACGCAAGUCAUCAGCUUGCAUUGAUUACGUCCCUGCCCUUUGUACACACCGCCCGUCGCUCCUAUCGAUUGAAUGAUCCGAUGAAUACCAUGGAUUGAGAGUACGAAUAGGUUCGCUUAUUUCUGCUGCUCGAGAAGUGGAGUAAAUCUUAUCAUUUAGAGGAAGGAGAAGUCGUAACA
rnacentral:rRNA from 1 species